rnacentral:rRNA from 1 species
GACGAACGCUGGCGGCGUGCUUAACACAUGCAAGUCGAACGCGCCUGUCCUCUGGGUUUCUGGGGGGUGGGUGAGUGGCGAACGGGUGAGUAACACGUGAGUAACCUGCCUCCUUCUUCGGGAUAACGGUCUGAAAGGGCUGCUAAUACCGGGUAUUCACUGGUCUCCGCAUGGGGUCUGGUGGAACGGUUUUUUUCUGGUGGGGGAUGGGCUCGCGGCUUAUUAGCUUGUUGGUGGGGUGAUGGCGCACCAAGGCUUUGACGGGUAGCCGGCCUGAUAGGGCACCCUGGCACAUAGAGACGGAGAUACGGCCCAGGGGCGGACGGGGGGCGGCAGUGGGGAAAAUUGCACAAAGGGUGCAAGCGUGAUGCAGCGACGCCGCGGAAGGGAUUCGGGCCGUCGGGUUGUUAACCUCGGUCGCCCAUGGUCAAGCCGCAACGUGGGUCGUGGUGAGGGUAGUGAAUAAAGAAGCACCGGCUAACUACGUG